CAAUAGCGUAUAUUUAAGUUGUUGCAGUUAAAAAGCUCGUAGUUGGAUUUCGGUUGAGAACGGCCGGUCCGCCGUUUGGUGUGCACUGGCUGGUUUCAACUUCCUGUAGAGGACGUGCUCUGGCUUCACGGCUGGACGCGGAGUCUACGUGGUUACUUUGAAAAAAUUAGAGUGUUCAAAGCGGGCUUACGCUUGAAUAUUUCAGCAUGGAAUAACACUAUAGGACUCCUGUCCUAUUUCGUUGGUCUCGGGACGGGAGUAAUGAUUAAGAGGAACAGUUGGGGGCAUUCGUAUUUCAUUGUCAGAGGUGAAAUUCUUGGAUUUAUGAAAGACGAACUUCUGCGAAANCANNNGCCAAGGAUGUUUUCAUNAA
rnacentral:rRNA from 1 species